CCACUUAUUAAUGCACGUCAGUGCUUACAGAGCAUUGUUUUAAGAUGAGCAAGACACAGCAGGGUUUUCCUAUAAUAAAUGCAACAGGAACAACACCUGCAAGUGCUGUGCUCAUCAGAGGAAGGUACAGCAUUGCUGGCUGCUUGCAUCAAAGCAUCCCCAUCCCACUAACCUCAGCCCAUCCACCAUUAGUCAAACAGCCACUUGAGCCCCAACCUGUGACUCAGAAGUACUUGUGGAGGAAGCUGCUUUGCCUUCCUGAGCCAUCUGUAUAGAGGAUGCUGGGGUCACUGCAGAUUGCUUUAAAGAAACCCAUAGUCACAAGACAAAGGUAACCUAAUGAAGAUCUGGGCUGCAAGCAGAAAUAUCCCUUUCUGAUUAUUAGCAACUCCACUGCAGUCAGGUUAUCGUGCACAAGCAGAACACACAAGGACUCAUCAAACCUUUAUGCCUAAUUAUAUAGAAAUGAACUACCAGCUCCAGUCACGUCUGUUUACUUUAAACCUGUGCAGUCAUUAGCUAUCGUGGGGCUCGACACUUGGUCUGAUUAUAAGGAAGAAAAAAAAUGUGACAAAGCUGCAGAGUGAUGAGGUAAGGUUACAAAGGGGGAGAUGUCAGAACAGCAGUUCUAAUUCAAGUUUGGAAUUCAACAGAAAACUUUUAAAAAAAAAGACAUGUUCACACUGCAAAAGAAUACACUGUUAGCACUAAUGGAUGCUUGCAGCAUGAAAUAUUUCCUUUUCCAGGCAGAUAAGAUUUGUUAGAAAAAAAAAAAUCAGUAUUCAUAUAGGGAUCUGUGUACAUCCAUAAAGUAAGAGAGAAGUGCGAAUAGAUUAGGUUUAAAACAAUCUCAGGGAAAAGAGAACUCAUUUUCACUAUAGUUCCUCUAUAUCCUGCCCUCUUAAAUCACGCAAAGAGCAUCCAUACAAUCUCAGAAAUCCUAUUAUCUCCCUGUUCCUGUCAUAAAUUCAGCAGUCUUUUUUUGAUAAAUUACAUUCUUCCCUAUCACAUUAUUUCUUCACUAAAAAUUACAAGUCCCAGUUCUUAAUUGAAGCCCACACUAGAAACUGGAAAUUUGUUAUAUAUUUAAAUUAAAAAAUACGUGUAUGAAGUAUAAAUAUACUACACACGUGUAUAGAUGGGAUCAUGCUGUGCCAUUACUAAAACAGCACUAUCGUUUCUAUAGCUCUUAAAGAGCCUAUUGUAAUCUGUGAUUCAUAUGCUUUCAGGAGUUUG
rnacentral:lncRNA from 1 species